ensembl:lncRNA
GUCCGGCCGCCUCGCUGCGCGGAGUCUCUCGCCGAGAGAUGCGGGCUUGACGCAGACGCGGCAUCGGGGCUCCGGGUACCGGAGGGACGGCGAUGCUCGAGUCGAGAUAGUAUGAAGAAAGGGCCAUGGAUCUGUUCAGUGGCCACAAAGCUGAGGCUCGUCCAUGCCAGGCAAGGGAAAGGUAAAUGGGUGCAGACCUAGUCACUCUGGACCAUCUGCAGUGGAGUGUUGAAGUAAUGGAGAGAAAUCCACAGCCUGUCCCAGGAACUGGGUGGCAUAUUGAGAGAGAUGCCACAUGGAGGAAGCCGCUGCAUGGUAAGUGACAUUCUGUCAUCUGCUCAGGUACUAUUAAAAAUGCGCAACCAC